rnacentral:rRNA from 1 species
CAGGCUUAACACAUGCAAGUCGAGGGGCAGCAUGGUCUUAGCUUGCUAAGGCCGAUGGCGACCGGCGCACGGGUGAGUAACACGUAUCCAACCUGCCGUCUACUCUUGGACAGCCUCCUGAAAGGAAGAUUAAUACAAGAUGGCAUCAUGAGUCCGCAUGUUCACAUGAUUAAAGGUAUUCCGGUAGACGAUGGGGAUGCGUUCCAUUAGAUAGUAGGCGGGGUAACGGCCCACCUAGUCUUCGAUGGAUAGGGGUUCUGAGAGGAAGGUCCCCCACAUUGGAACUGAGACACGGUCCAAACUCCUGCGGGAGGCAGCAGUGAGGAAUAUUGGUCAAUGGGCGAGAGCCUGAACCAGCCAAGUAGCGUGAAGGAUGACUGCCCUAUGGGUUGUAAACUUCUUUUAUAAAGGAAUAAAGUCGGGUAUGGAUACCCGUUUGCAUGUACUUUAUGAAUAAGGAUCGGCUAACUCCGUGCCAGCAGCCGCGGUAAUACGGAGGAUCCGAGCGUUAUCCGGAUUUAUUGGGUUUAAAGGGAGCGUAGAUGGAUGUUUAAGUCAGUUGUGAAAGUUUGCGGCUCAACCGUAAAAUUGCAGUUGAUACUGGAUAUCUUGAGUGCAGUUGAGGCAGGCGGAAUUCGUGGUGUAGCGGUGAAAUGCUUAGAUAUCACGAAGAACUCCGAUUGCGAAGGCAGCCUGCUAAGCUGCAACUGACAUUGAGGCUCGAAAGUGUGGGUAUCAAACAGGAUUAGAUACCCUGGUAGUCCACACGGUAAACGAUGAAUACUCGCUGUUUGCGAUAUACAGCAAGCGGCCAAGCGAAAGCGUUAAGUAUUCCACCUGGGGAGUACGCCGGCAACGGUGAAACUCAAAGGAAUUGACGGGGGCCCGCACAAGCGGAGGAACAUGUGGUUUAAUUCGAUGAUACGCGAGGAACCUUACCCGGGCUUAAAUUGCAGAUGAAUUACGGUGAAAGCCGUAAGCCGCAAGGCAUCUGUGAAGGUGCUGCAUGGUUGUCGUCAGCUCGUGCCGUGAGGUGUCGGCUUAAGUGCCAUAACGAGCGCAACCCUUGUUGUCAGUUACUAACAGGUUCCGCUGAGGACUCUGACAAGACUGCCAUCGUAAGAUGUGAGGAAGGUGGGGAUGACGUCAAAUCAGCACGGCCCUUACGUCCGGGGCUACACACGUGUUACAAUGGGGGGUACAGAGGGCCGCUACCACGCGAGUGGAUGCCAAUCCCCAAAACCUCUCUCAGUUCGGACUGGAGUCUGCAACCCGACUCCACGAAGCUGGAUUCGCUAGUAAUCGCGCAUCAGCCACGGCGCGGUGAAUACGUUCCCGGGCCUUGUACACACCGCCCGUCAAGCCAUGGGAGCCGGGGGUACCUGAAGUGCGUAACCGCGAGGAGCGCCCUAGGGUAAAACUGGUGACUGGGGC